UGAGGAAUAUUGGGCAAUGGGUGAGAGCCUGACCCAGCCAUGCCGCGUGCAGGAUUAAGGCCCUAUGGGUCGUAAACUGCUUUUGAACGGGAAUAAUGUGGUGUACGUGUACACUAAUGCAGGUACCGUUCGAAUAAGCAUCGGCUAACUCCGUGCCAGCAGCCGCGGUAAUACGGAGGAUGCGAGCGUUAUUCGGAUUUAUUAGGUUUAAAGGGUACGUAGGCUGCCUUAUAAGUCAGGGGUGAAAUAC
rnacentral:rRNA from 1 species